GCUUAACCGGAGAAGUGCAUCGGAAACUGGGAGACUUGAGUGCAGAAGAGGACAGUGGAACUCCAUGUGUAGCGGUGGAAUGCGUAGAUAUAUGGAAGAACACCAGUGGCGAAGGCGGCUGUCUAGUCUGUAACUGACGCUGAGGCUCGAAAGCAUGGGUAGCGAACAGGAUUAGAUACCCUGGUAGUCCAUGCCGUAAACGAUGAGUGCUAAGUGUUGGAGGGUUUCCGCCCUUCAGUGCUGCAGCUAACGCAUUAAGCACUCCGCCUGGGGAGUACGACCGCAAGGUUGAAACUCAAAGGAAUUGACGGGGGCCCGCACAAGCGGUGGAGCAUGCGGUUUAAUUCGAAGCUACGCGAAGAACCUUACCAGGUCUUGACAUCUUCUGCCAAUCUUAGAGAUAAGACGUUCCCUUCGGGGACAGAAUGACAGGUGGUGCAUGGUUGUCGUCAGCUCGUGUCGUGAGAUGUUGGGUUAAGUCCCGCAACGAGCGCAACCCUUAUUAUCAGUUGCCAGCAUUCAGUUGGGCACUCUGGUGAGACUGCCGGUGACAAACCGGAGGAAGGUGGGGAUGACGUCAAAUCAUCAUGCCCCUUAUGACCUGGGCUACACACGUGCUACAAUGGACGGUACAACG
rnacentral:rRNA from 1 species